CAAAUUGGCGAAAUUAAAAAAAAGGUAUUUUUUUUGCAGUAUGUAUUUUAAUUAUAUUUUUGUUGCAGUAUGUAUUUUAGUUAUAUUCUUGUAAAUGUGAAACCUACUGAAUACUGUUGGGGAAAUUAAGAAGAUAAAGUCUUUUUCUUGCAGUUUGUAUUUUAUUUCUAUUUUUGUAAAAAUGUGAAAACCACUGAUAACCAAAUUGGCGAAAUUAAAAAGGUAUUUUUCUUGCAGUAUGUAUUUUAGUUAUAUUUUUGUUGCAGUAUGUAUUUUAAUUAUAUUUUUGUAAAUGUGAAACCUACUGAAUACUGGUAACCAAAUUGGGGAAAUUAAGAAGAUAAAGUCUUUUUCUUGCAGUAUGUAUUUUAUUUCUAUUUUUGUAAAAAUGUGAAAACUACUGAUAACCAAAUCUACGAGAAUAAUUGCAAAAAAAACAGAGGAUAGUUACAAGACAGAGGAUAUUUUUCCUACGCGUUACUGUGUUUCUUUUUGCGGUAAAUCUCUCAAGUUAUGAAGUAAUCUUACUGUCAUUCACUGACCAUAACGUUUUUAAUUAUUGAUUCAUAGUAAUGAUGUACACUAAAAGUUUAGAUAACGGCGUUGUCCAAUCAAACAUUGGUUGUUAAACUUGUCCAUCCAAUCAACCCUUACAUAAUUCGAUUUGGUGGUUACUUUUGACUGAUUGCUUCAAACAUCUCACAUGUUUAGGUUAGAAAGAUUGGUACAGAUACUUAAUGCAGAGCUACCAAAGUGAAGUAAGUUUCUUUGCAUAACUGCUAAUGGCUCUGCCAUAACCACAAUCACUUUGAUUUUCUGCAUUGAGUAAAGUGUUCCAUAGGGGAGCAAAAUAAGCAUUUUCACAUUGUUUUUGAGUUAUUAAAAGUUUUGAAUUUCUUUUUUGGGGUCAAACCUGACUAACAAAAGAUGACAAGAACUUCUGCUUCUCUCUGUCACAUACCAUAAGAAGAUAAUCCAGCUUCAUACUAGAAGAUUCUUCUCCAUUGACUAUGUUACCAACUUCAGAACCUACUAAGCUUGAAUCUGAAGUUGGAGCUUUACUCGUGACAUCAAGCUGCGUUUCUUGAUAAAACAACAAACAUAUCAGCUACAUGUCAGACUCCUUGUAAAAGGUCUUAUAGUCUUUGUCUCUAUCUAUUACCAGUUAGAACUGAUGUAUUUUCAAUCUCUGAUAAUUACACAGCUCCACUAUCUCCAGCUUCUCCAUAAGUUGUAGUUUCUUCGAAUGAGAAUCACGGGUUCCAUCAAAAUCUCUAACUUUCGUUUAUCUCGAGUGAACGUGGCUCGAGCUCUGAGACAUUCACUCUCCCUCUUAUGUAGAAUUUACAGAGGAGAGAAAUGGCUAUGGCGAGCGAGGAAUGAGCUUUAUCAGUGAUUUCAAUAACGUCUUUCUGUUCUCCGGUUUAAGAGAUGAACUACAUGUCGUUUUACCUUUUUCUCGAACGUCAAACACUGAUCUUUUUUCUCGCAUAGACUACAUCAAUUCCCUUUAGAAAUAGAACAGAGCCUGUGGAAUUUGGUUAAUGAGCCUAACUAAACUCGGCCCAUAAUGAGAUGUUAAAAAAGUGGGCAAAACUGUAAUUUAGUAAGGAUAGACACGUGAAUAAGGCGACAAAAGCUUAAAAGAGGGGGUUGGGUUGGGUUGGGUUGGUUUAUACGUUCUAGUGUUCUACGACCCGCGGUUUUCAUUCUGAAACCGUCUACGCAGCUACGCUCGUUGCUCGAAUUUUAUCUGUAGCCGAUAUUUUAGGUAGAGCUUCUUCGUUCGAGAAAUGCUUAUGGUUUAUGCUUUUCUGGAUAACUUUUGGGGAUAUUUAAUUAUUAUAAAGUGUGUGUGUUCACAUGCUUUUAGGUAAAUGUCAAAAGGUUCUAAUUCUGUUUCUAAUGAUGUUUGAAAAACAAACAAAAAGUAUUUUUAUUGUUUAUAUUUCGAGUGUUUGACCAUAUUAUAAUAGGGUGAACAAAAAAAUAAGGUGAACAAAAACAAAAGACCUUACAAUAUAACACAAAUCGUCAUAUGAAUCUCUGGUAACUAACAACUAUAGCAUUUCAUUUUAACCAAAAAAAAAACUAUAGCAUUUCAUUAUUGUGUUUAUACAUUAUUCACUUCUAUAUAAAUACACCCAAUGUAAUAAUUUUAUUUAUAGAAAUUUACUCACUAGACAUCCACGAACUAAUCAAAAUUCAAAAGGCCAACAAAAAGGGUUGCACCAAUCGAAAAUCGUAUUUCAACCAGAUAUUGGUUCUAUAUCAUAUCACCUUUGAAAAAAGAAAAGAAAAAACCAUAGUUCUAUCAAAAUCCAUCGAAUCCAUUAAAACUAGGUUCCACUAGUUAAGUAAUUGGAUUUUUUUCACUGAAAACUAGCAGAAGUACUGACCUAUACCGGGGGAGAACAACUUUUAUGGAAAAACAUUUAAAAAAAAAAAAAUCCUUUGCAUGUAUCAAAACAAGGAAGCUAUUGCCCAUUGUUUUACUACCCCUCUAUAAAUUAACUUAAUACUUUGCCAUUCACUUCAGUUAUAUCAAGAAACUUGAAACUGCAUAACAAAACAUUUCUUUCAUUUUCGAAAAACACUCUCAAAGGUUCUGAUUCCUUUUCUAACAUCUUGAUUCUCGACGAAGCUUAUUAACGGAAGUACAAGUUAUUCCAAUGGAUGUCUUCAUAUCGGAAGAGUAUGUCUACCGCCGGAGAAUGGAGAAAAAAGCUGCCGCCGUUGCCGAUAAAAAUGUGAGGCUAGGCUUUUGUACAAGUAAAGUACAGGAAAAGAGAAAAAGCCAUCCUCGGAUGUCUGAAUCUCGGCCGGAAAAGGAGUUUCAGGUUACCGGCGGUGGUGUUUAUGAGAGUUUUGUGUUCCAAUGCUUUUCUCCAUAAUAACCAAACCGUUCGCGUUUAGUGAUUCAAACGCAGACGCAGUUGCAUGUGCAUGGGCGGUUAUUAGUUGUAGCUCUUGUAUUGUAGUAACUCUUGGUUUAUUGCUACUAUAGUGAGUUUUUUUCCUAAUUAACAAUGUGUUGUUAGUCAUAAACUAAUACUAUUUGAUAAUCAUAAACAUUAAAUAUAAAUCAUGAAUCACAUUAGUUAUACAUUACAAAUUUACAACUAAGAUAACACAUUGUUUAUACAAAUCUCAACAAUUUCAGAUUUGAUACCAUAUUAACUUCAAAAUCAAAGAUGAUGAAGAACCAGAUUCAAGCUAAGAGUGAGAGAUGAAGAAGAUGAUGAAAUGAAAGUUUGUUAUUCUUCAUAAUUAACAUGUACAUGUGGGUUCAAUAUAUAUAGUUGUACAGUUAAGCAAAAGGAAACUUAACCAUUACAAACCGGUUUGUAAACCGAGUACUAUACUAAUAUUUACAACAACCAACAGUAUAACUUUCAAGGGUUGCGUAAUACAAAGGAAAGAGAGCGGCCUUCUUAAUUAGCCGUUUCAUGUGCACAUUGGUAAGCAUGAAGAUUUUAGAAAAAUGAAGUGUAGCAUAACUGUUUUUUUUAUUGUAUUGAUGCCAACAUUUAUUGCAUGAAGCUCUAAAAUAUCAGCCAGUUUAUCAUCAUCACCAGGAUUCUAACUCUGGUACUGGCUCCUCCUCUUUCCUCUGUGGCUGGUUCGUCUCUCCAUUCCCCCCCUCCCCCCCCCCCCCCAUUAAUUUUACCAUUGUUAUUUACCAGAAUCACUGUUUCGUGAAAUUUCAAGCACCGAGGGGUGCACCAAAUCGAUUCAUUCUUUGCGCCUUUUUGGUCAAACUUGUUAACUCAUUAAUUGUGUUGGUAUAAAGCUAUGAUUGAGAACUUAAGCAAUUAUGUUUUUCUUUAUAAGUUCCUUCUAACCAAUUGAUGAUUGAUGUGUGACACUUUAGGAGCUACGUGUUUUGGGUUCCUUGAACUCAGUGUUUUUCGUUUAUGAACUUCUCUGAGAAUAUUUUGAUCCAACUGAUCCUGAUCAGAGACCAGAUUCCUUGAGAGUUGAUGUACGGAUGAGUGAUCAUAACGUGAAUUGCGUUUAGACAUCUACUGUGAAAGUCACACCAGAACUGUUCACAUGACCAACCCUCAAAUUUUGGGGCAGUAAACUAUUUAAUAAAUUUGGAAGCUUAUAUCUAUUUUUCUUCAAAAUUUUUGGAGGCUAUAGAUCAAAUCACUGGCUUAUGCCCAGAUCCGACCCUAAUUAUUCAUCUAUAACUUUUCUUAUGCUCAAACCUUUUGUCGUAAACAGAGUUGUGAUUGGCUUAGCGAUUGUUCUUUCUGCUAACUUAAUUAAUCUCUUGUGUUUCGAUUAACCGUAUCUGUUUCUUUGAUUGCAGUCUUGCUGCUCUGUGCUGCUGCGGUGUGUUGGACUGCUUCUGAUAAUGCCCUUCACGGAUCUCUUGUUUUUGUCACUUACAGUCGCAGUUUAUACGUUAAAUCAACUUCAACACAUGCCUUAACUAUCUGUUUUUAUGUUCUGGCAUGCUUCAUUGUCUAUUAAUGAUGUACCUCUUUAUUUGACAGUUAACUAAUCUACAAACCAAAGGUCCUCUAAAAAGAUGAAGCGGUUCUAGCUAAGAAAUCUGUAGUUCUAUUUUGUCUCCAAGGAAUAUAUAUAGCAUAUUUUGAAAUCUCGAAAUCUUCUUUUCAACUCUUGUAUCACCUUCAACUCUGUCAAAAAAAUUCAGUCAUGCCUGAAGUUCAACUAGCAUUGAUUUCUUAUCUCAGUAAGCUGUGUUUGUCUUGUAUUAUCUUAGCCACAUCCAAUAAAAUCGAUGUGGAGGUUUAAGAAUCAUCUACCAAACAUAUAUUAUUUAAGCAUAUAGCAUGAGAUGUUGCUACUGGUAUUUGCAUCAAACCAGUAGUUGGAUCAUAUGGUUUGAUAUAUGUACCUCUUUAUUUAGAUGAAUACCACUUUCAAAAUUAUUGUCAUGUAACUUGUGUUUACAAGUAAACAAGAAAAAACAUAAACCAUAAGCUAUUGUUUUCCCAAUUUAAUUAGUUGUCCAGCCCAAUAGUAAAACAAAUUGAUAUAAAACAAAUAGUUUGAGGCCCAAGUCCAAUAUAAACGUGACAGCACGAUUAAAUGACACGUGAGACGUGACUGUACUUAUUAAUACUCCCUCCGUUUUUUAUUAUAAGUCGUUUUGAAGCUAUGCACAUAGAUUAAGAAAAUCAUUAAUUUCUUAUAUUUUCGAAACAAAAACAUCAUUAAUUAUUUACCUAACCACAAUUUAACCAAUAGAAAAAUAGAAGAUAUAUUAUCAUUGGUCAGACAACAUUAAUUACUAAUAAAUGUUACAUAAAAAACCGAAAACGACAUAUAAUUUGGAACAAAAAAGUUUCUCUAAAACGACUUAUAUUAAAAAACAGAGGGAGUAAUUGAAAAAGACAGCUUGGACAAAAAAAAGUCCGUGAAACUGAAAACAUCUUUUUAAGUUUUGUUUUGCAAUAAUCUCAACUGUCUCAAAAAAAAAAAAAAAAAAUCUCUCUGAUUCGAAAGAGAUAUGAGCUACGAGAAAGUUCCACCGGAAUCGUAUCCUCCUCCUCCAGGAUACCAAUCUCAUUAUCCGCCUCCUGGUUAUCCAUCGGCGCCGCCGCCUCCGGGAUAUCCUCCGCCGCAUCACGAAGGAUAUCCACCGCCUCAGCCUCACGGGUAUCCACCGUACCCGCCACCGCGUCCUUACGAAGGAGGUUAUCAAGGCUACUUCGCCGGUAACUACCCUCCUCCUCAUCCUCCUCCUCCGCCGCAACAGUGCAACCACUACCAGCACGAUCACCACCAUUACCAGGAUUCAAACUCUGAUGGCUCCUCUUUCCUCCGUGGCUGUCUUGCUGCUCUGUGCUGUUGCUGUCUGUUGGAGGAAUGCUUCUGAGAAUGGCCUUUCCUUCUCCCCGGAUCAUCUCUUGUUACUAUCGUCAUUUACAGUCACAUUAUAUAUGUUAAAUCAAAUCCAAUACAUGCCAUAACUUCUCUGUCUAUGUACUGUGAAUGUUUCCAUUGUCUGUUAAUGCUGUACCUCUUUGUUUGGGAGUGGACUAAAUCCACAACAUGGAUCAGAAGAAUCCUAUGUAUGUUCCUUGUAAUUUGUCUGAAUUAUUUGAAAAAUAUAUACUCAGUUUGAUA